rnacentral:misc_RNA from 1 species
GCGUAGUGUAAGUUAGUAAUGUAAUUGAGUGCCGAUCGCUUUCAAGCAAAAUCGUAAACAAAGGGAGAAAGUGAUCCUAGUUUCAAAAGGAAAUAGCAGCUCGUACAUUAAUACCUCCCUAGAGAGAUUGAAACCUGGCGAACCCGAAGAUGACGAAUCCGGAGAGCCGGAGAGGAGGUCUGUUUCAAAUAGCAACAGAAAGACGUAAAA